GUGUGUGUGACUUUCUAUCUGUGUAACUGCCUGCCUGUGUGUGUAUAACUGUCUAUGUGUGUGUUACUGUGUGUCUGUCUGUGUGUGUGACUGCCUAUGUGACUGUCUGUCUGUGUGUGUCGCUGUAGCUGUGCCAUUGUUUGUGCCUGUGCCUGUAUGUGUGACUGCCUUUAACGGAGUGUGUGUGUACAUGCCUGUAACCGAGUUUAAAUUUCCCCCACCCCUUCCUGUCAAGGCCGCACUUUGACUGACAG